ACUACCGUAUUGAUAUUGUAAAUUAUACAAAUGGUUAACUGAACCGGACCUCUCAUUUAGCAAUUGGUUGCGUCAUCAGCAUUUCUUUUAUAAAUAACUAGUUAAGUUGUCCAAAGUAAUUUAAUGAUACCAUUCUACAGCGUUAUUCAAAUGGACCUUUUCACUGACGUAAUGACGCAAUUACGUGCACUUGCUAGCCUGUUCCAUUUACUUUAGUGUUGGGGAUAGGUGAAUGCUACUCUCAGAUCAAAUGCAGUGAGAUUAAUUAAUAGUAUCAUCAAUAAGUCUUUGUGUUUAAUUUUUCUUGUAAAUAUUGGCCCUUCGCACCAUUGUGGGCAGCAUUGUGCAACACUUACCACCAUCAGCAGCCUCAGGCCCUGCAGAACAUUGUGGGCAGCUGGAGGAGAUCAUCCCCUCCAGGAACAGUUGGUCAGCUAUGUUCUGGACAAAGGUAGGCCUACCCAUGAGAUUAUUAUUAAGGAUGGUCCUACAUGUUUGACCAGGGAGAACCUUUUAUCUUCAGGUCUGAACAGGCAAAUGGACUCAAUAGUGGGUGAAAGAUUUUGUUGGAAUGUGAAAGCACUCAAGAGGUUUCGUUUGUAAAUACAGUAAAAAAAAACUGUACAGGACAAAUGUCUUUAUUAUGGACCUCCACAUCCCCCCAACAUGGAUCCCACCCUUGAAUUGUGACCCUUUAGGCAGUCUUCCUGUCAACUCCACAGAGAAAGAUGCACUUAUAUUCCCGCUGUGGACCCAAGGGCAUUUUUUGCUAUGUGUAAGUGAUUCAUGCAUUCUAAGAAAGUUUGUCAAGCUACACCAUUGAUGUUAAUGGAGAUUCCUUUUUGCAACACUUGUUGGAAUAUUCCACUUGAAAAGUUAUGUCAUUGCCAAGACCAUUCUCAUAGGUGAUGCUGCCACUCAAAAGAGGAAUACUGUUUCUCGAUUCACUGUAUGCACAGCGGGAACAAGGCUUU